AUGAAUCCAACAAAAUCAAGGAAAUUUGUUAGCGCGAGAGAGUACUAUUGCUUCAAGUUGUGUGUCCGGAAGAAGCUUUUUAACAUCAUCUUGUUCGGGGGGCGUCUUUUUCAACAGUGGGCUGUUGACAUGUACAUCAAGAUUGAGACAAUGAGGCUUGACUGGUAUUCAAAGCCAGCAAAUCAAAAGGUUAUACGCGCUGACCUGUACCAGGGUCUUGUUGACACCGUCGUUGCUGGCGAGUCACGUGGUGAUCGGAUUGGCAAGAGAAUCGUGCUUCCACGUACAUUUCCUGGUGGUGACCGUGACAUGCAGCGCAGAUUUCUAGAUGCGAUGGCAAUAGUUCAACGUUGGGGUAAACUGGAUUAUUUUGUCACGAUGACAUGCAAUCCCUACUGGGAGGAGAUAACGCAGGAAUUGUUGCCUGGACAGCUGCCACAAGACCGCCCAGACCUUGUGGCAAGAGUAUACAGAGCUAAGCAACAAAAUAUGAUGGACUUACUAACUAAGGGUAAGCAUGUCGGAGAAGUCGCAGCUUAUGUACAUGUCACAGAGUUUCAAAAGCGAGGUCUCCCGCAUGAGCAUAUACUUCUAAUCAUGAAAGCAAAAAGCAAGUUAAGGGCCCCAGAUGACUAUGAUCGGGUGAUAUCUGCAGAGAUACCCGACAAAAAGAAAUAUCAUGUCCUCCAUGAUCUGGUAGUCAAACACAUGUUGCACGGCCCAUGUGGUGCACUCAAGAAAAGUUGCCCUUGCAUGAUAGAUGGACAGUGUCGAUUUCAUUACCCGCGAGAUUUCUGUGAUGCUACAUUACAAGGGAAAGACUCAUAUCCCAUCUAUAGAAGGAGGGACGACGGGGUUCGAGUAAGGAUCAGAGGAGCAGAUUUGGACAAUAGAUGGGUGGUCCCUUACAACCCCUUUCUGCUUAUGAAAUACAACUGUCACAUAAAUGUCGAAGCAUGCUCGAGCAUCAAGGCAGUCAAGUACUUAUUCAAGUACAUCUACAAAGGGCAUGAUAAGGCAUCAUUUGCAUGCGAGCAGGAUAUUAUCAAUGAUGGGGGAAUCAUUAAUGAAAUUCGUCAAUACAGGGAUGCACGCUAUAUAUCUCCUCCAGAAGCUAUUUACAGGAUUUUUGGGUUUAAAAUGUUUGGUGUUAGUCCAUCUGUGUUACAGCUGCAACUUCAUUUGCCAAACAUGCACACAGUCGCAUUUAAGGGUUAUGAAAAUCUGGAAGAUGUUGUCGCUCGCCCAACUUCUUCCAAAUCCAUGCUUACCGAGUACUUUGAGAUGAACAAGAAGUAUCCAGCGGCACGAAAAUGGUUGUACAAAGAGUUCCCAGAACAUUAUAGGUGGAUUGCCGCUAAUAAAAAGUGGCAAACGAGAAGAAGUAAGAGAUCACAGAUUGGAAGACUGGUGUAUGCACACCCUGCUGAAGGAGAGAGGUACUACUUGCGGGUGCUCCUAAGUCAUGUUCGAGGUGCCACUUCAUUUGAUGAUUUAAAAACAGUAAAUGGCAAGCCAUGCACUUCCUUCAGAGAGGCAUGUGAGCACUUAGGCCUCAUUGAGCAUGACAGGACACUGGAUGAUUGCAUGACGGAGGCAGCAACAUUUCAAAUGCCUUCUGCUCUUAGACGAUUGUUUGCGACUAUACUAGUAUUCUGUGAGGUAACACAAAUCCGUCAAUUGUGGGACAAACAUCUACCAUCGAUGGCUGAAGAUUACCGCCGCACUGAGUCGAACGAGGCAACACUUGAGCAGAUGGUCCUUAGAGAUGUCAGGGAUCUGGUGCAAUCCAUGGGUAAGGAUAUUAAAAUGUAUGGACUUCCAGAUCUGGUUGACACAAAUGGUUCUUCUAACGCCGAGUAUAGAGAGGUAACAGAGGAGAGACAAGUUAGAGUUGACCAAGAGCAUCUAGAUCUAUUUAGCUGUUUGAACAGUGAACAACUGGAUGGUUUCAACGACAUAAUGGAUCAUGUGACGAACCAAAAAAGCCAGAUAUUUUUUGUUGAUGGUCCAGGAGGCACUGGGAAGACGUACCUGUACAAGGCAUUGCUUGCGAAGGUCCGUUCGAUGGGCCUUAUAGCGAUCGCAACUGCUACAUCAGGUAUAGCGGCGUCAAUAAUGCCUGGAGGCCGGACUGCCUACUCCAGGUUCAAAAUUCCAAUCAAGCUCACUGACAACAGCAUGUGUGGUUUCACAAAGCAGAGUGGUACGGCAGAGUUGCUUAAACAGGCGUCCUUGAUUAUUUGGGAUGAAGUUGCUAUGACAAAGCGUCAAGCAGUUGAGACGCUCGACAGAUCGCUACAAGAUAUUAUGGAAUGUCCUCUGCCAUUUGGUGGAAAGGUUGUUGUCUUUGGUGGGGAUUUCAGGCAGGUCCUCCCUGUUGUUACACGAGGGACAAGAGCACAGAUCACGGAUGCUACACUGUUGAGAUCCUAUCUGUGGGAUAAGAUCCGCAAGAUACGCCUCACGCGCAAUAUGCGGGCACAGGCCGACCCUUGGUUCUCCUAA
rnacentral:rRNA from 1 species